rnacentral:rRNA from 1 species
GACGAACGCUGGCGGCGUGCCUCAGACAUGCAAGUCGAACGAUUAAAGCUCUCUUCGGAGAGUGCAUAAAGUGGCGCACGGGUGAGUAACACGUAAGUAAUCUACCUUUGAGUGGGGAAUAACAGUCGGAAACGGCUGCUAAUACCGCAUAAUGCAGCGGCACCGCAAGGUGACAGUUGUUAAAGGAGCAAUCCGCUUAAAGAGGAGCUUGCGGCAGAUUAGCUAGUUGGUAAGGUAAUGGCUUACCAAGGCUACGAUCUGUAACCGGUCUUAGAGGACGGUCGGUCACACUGACACUGAAUAACGGGUCAGACUCCUACGGGAGGCAGCAGU